AGUACACAUCAGUGUAUUGCCUGCAAGUGAAUUCAUAGCUUGUCGGCGGCAGACGCGGGGAACUGAAACAUCUCAGUACCCGCAGGAAGAGAAAGAAAACUCGAUUCCCAUAGUAGCGGCGAGCGAAGUGGGAAGAGCCCAAACCGAGAAGCUUGCUUCUCGGGGUUGUAGGACUGGACAUUGGAGUUACCAAAGUUCGACGUAGUCGAAGUCAGCUGGAAAGCUGCGCCAUAGAAGGUGAAAGCCCUGUAAACGAAACGGCGGACCCUCCGUCCAGGAUCCUGAGUACGGCGGAACACGUGAAAUUCCGUCGGAAUCCGGGAGGACCAUCUCCCAAGGCUAAAUACUCCCUA
rnacentral:rRNA from 2 species